AGCCUGACCAUGUAGUCCUGACAUGACAUCAUGAAACAGUUGCUACCACAAUCAAGGCUUGUCUGCACAUCCUUCCUGCCAUGCUACCUAAUACUGUCACCUUAUUUCACUGGAGCGGCUGCAAUGCAACAGCAGUUACUGGCCCUGCCCAUCUGAGAAUAUUGGACCUGUAAAGUGAAUCAGGCAUUUAUUACUUUUCACAAGUGCUAACACAGCUGGUGAAGAAUAAGCCUGCUGCUUUAGAGACGAUGGGCACCUUGCUGUCUCCAGCAUCCAACACUCUGUUUCAUUUGAUCCCGAGGAGCACCAACCUAGAUGCUAAUGUUUGGAGAGGCUAAACUCAUGCUGGAGAAGUGAGCCACAGUGAAUGGAAGCUCCAUCCCCUCACUCAAGGGCCUAAGGAGACUAUUCAAGAAUUCUGAGCAAGGAAAAAACAACCUUAUUCCCUUCAAAGUAAGAAUCUCAAUUUGAGCAUCUUUGUACUGUAAGAAGAGAAAUCUGAACUUUGCUGAAAAAUAGCACAUAGCAGGAAUUUGCUAAGAAUAGCAAAUAAAAAAAAAAGUCUCCUGAGGAGUUCUAAAAAAACCCAAAAAAUGAAAAAUAAA